rnacentral:rRNA from 1 species
GAACGGGUGAGUAACGCGUAGGUAACCUGCCUGGUAGCGGGGGAUAACUAUUGGAAACGAUAGCUAAUACCGCAUAAUAUUAAUUAUUGCAUGAUAAUUGAUUGAAAGAUGCAACUGCAUCACUACCAGAUGGACCUGCGUUGUAUUAGCUAGUAGGUGAGGUAACGGCUCACCUAGGCGACGAUACAUAGCCGACCUGAGAGGGUGAUCGGCCACACUGGGACUGAGACACGGCCCAGACUCCUACGGGAGGCAGCAGUAGGGAAUCUUCGGCAAUGGACGAAAGUCUGACCGAGCAACGCCGCGUGAGUGAAGAAGGUUUUCGGAUCGUAAAGCUCUGUUGUAAGAGAAGAACGGGUGUGAGAGUGGAAAGUUCACACUGUGACGGUAUCUUACCAGAAAGGGACGGCUAACUACGUGCCAGCAGCCGCGGUAAUACGUAGGUCCCGAGCGUUGUCCGGAUUUAUUGGGCGUAAAGCGAGCGCAGGCGGUUAGAUAAGUCUGAAGUUAAAGGCUGUGGCUUAACCAUAGUACGCUUUGGAAACUGUUUAACUUGAGUGCAGAAGGGGAGAGUGGAAUUCCAUGUGUAGCGGUGAAAUGCGUAGAUAUAUGGAGGAACACCGGUGGCGAAAGCGGCUCUCUGGUCUGUAACUGACGCUGAGGCUCGAAAGCGUGGGGAGCGAACAGGAUUAGAUACCCUGGUAGUCCACGCCGUAAACGAUGAGUGCUAGGUGUUAGGCCCUUUCCGGGGCUUAGUGCCGCAGCUAACGCAUUAAGCACUCCGCCUGGGGAGUACGACCGCAAGGUUGAAACUCAAAGGAAUUGACGGGGGCCCGCACAAGCGGUGGAGCAUGUGGUUUAAUUCGAAGCAACGCGAAGAACCUUACCAGGUCUUGACAUCCCGAUGCCCGCUCUAGAGAUAGAGUUUUACUUCGGUACAUCGGUGACAGGUGGUGCAUGGUUGUCGUCAGCUCGUGUCGUGAGAUGUUGGGUUAAGUCCCGCAACGAGCGCAACCCUUAUUGUUAGUUGCCAUCAUUCAGUUGGGCACUCUAGCGAGACUGCCGGUAAUAAACCGGAGGAAGGUGGGGAUGACGUCAAAUCAUCAUGCCCCUUAUGACCUGGGCUACACACGUGCUACAAUGGCUGGUACAACGAGUCGCAAGUCGGUGACGGCAAGCUAAUCUCUUAAAGCCAGUCUCAGUUCGGAUUGUAGGCUGCAACUCGCCUACAUGAAGUCGGAAUCGCUAGUAAUCGCGGAUCAGCACGCCGCGGUGAAUACGUUCCCGGGCCUUGUACACACCGCCCGUCACACCACGAGAGUUUGUAA